AAGCAGCUUGCUGCUUCGCUGACGAGUGGCGGACGGGUGAGUAAUGUCUGGGAAACUGCCUGAUGGAGGGGGAUAACUACUGGAAACGGUAGCUAAUACCGCAUAAUGUCGCAAGACCAAAGAGGGGGACCUUCGGGCCUCUUGCCAUCGGAUGUGCCCAGAUGGGAUUAGCUAGUAGGUGGGGUAACGGCUCACCUAGGCGACGAUCCCUAGCUGGUCUGAGAGGAUGACCAGCCACACUGGAACUGAGACACGGUCCAGACUCCUACGGGAGGCAGCAGUGGGGAAUAUUGCACAAUGGGCGCAAGCCUGAUGCAGCCAUGCCGCGUGUAUGAAGAAGGCCUUCGGGUUGUAAAGUACUUUCAGCGGGGAGGAAGGCGAUAAGGUUAAUAACCUUGUCGAUUGACGUUACCCGCAGAAGAAGCACCGGCUAACUCCGUGCCAGCAGCCGCGGUAAUACGGAGGGUGCAAGCGUUAAUCGGAAUUACUGGGCGUAAAGCGCACGCAGGCGGUCUGUCAAGUCGGAUGUGAAAUCCCCGGGCUCAACCUGGGAACUGCAUUCGAAACUGGCAGGCUAGAGUCUUGUAGAGGGGGGUAGAAUUCCAGGUGUAGCGGUGAAAUGCGUAGAGAUCUGGAGGAAUACCGGUGGCGAAGGCGGCCCCCUGGACAAAGACUGA
rnacentral:rRNA from 1 species